UACAGAGGGAGCAAGCGUUAUCCGGAAUGAUUGGGCGUAAAGCGUUUGUAGGUGGUUCGUAAAGUUUAAUGUCAAAUAUCAGGGCUCAACCCUGAACCGGCAUUGAAGCACUCACGAACUUGAGUACGGUAGAGGCAGAGGGAAUUCCUUGUGGAGCGGUGAAAUGCGUAGAGAUAAGGAGGAACACCAGUGGCGAAGGCGCUCUGCUGGGCCGAAACUGACACUGAGAAACGAAAGCUGGGGGAGCGAAUAGG
rnacentral:rRNA from 1 species